rnacentral:rRNA from 1 species
AUUGAACGCUAGCGGGAUGCCUUACACAUGCAAGUCGAACGGAGUGGCGAACGGGUGAGUAAUGUAUCGGAACGUGCCCAGUAGCUGGGGAUAACUACGCGAACGCGUAGCUAAUACCGCCUACUAUUGGAGCGUCCGUUAUCGGCGUGGCUCGUUGGUGGGGUAACGGCUCACCAAGGCGACGAUCCGUAGCUGAUUUGAGAGGAAGAGCAGCAACACUGGGACGGAGACACGGCCCAGACUCCUACGGUAGGCAGCAGUGGGGAAUUUGGGACAAUGGGGGAAACCAUGAGCAAGCCAUCCCGGGUGUGAGAUGAAGGCCUUCGGGUUGUCAAGCAAUUUUGGAAGGAAAGCGGUACCUGCAGAAUAAGCACCGGCUAACUACGUGCCAGCAGCCGCGGUAAUAC